UUUAUCACUAGAAAUAUCAGCGAAUCAUCAAGCUCGUAAGAAUCAUAAGACUGAAACUUCUACGCGCACAGUAGAAAAAGCCGUAUGAGAACGCCUUUCCGUCGGUGCCUUUAAACCGCGAUGUCAGUGCACAUUUCUGAACGGGUGGCGCUCUGCCCCCUCCUCCUGGUUUUUUUCUCUCAGUUUCCCCUAUGUGCACCUAAAUACCGUUAUCGUAAUAAACGCAGAUUCCGUUAUUCUCGAAAUAAAGAAUAUCUAUCAGGUAUACGUUCGUGUUAGAUCAACUUUAUCCGAAUUUAAGCUCUUUAAGACAGACGGGCGUUUGCAAAGAUGACAGUAGGAUUCACAAGCAGCACCAUGUCUCGUGUGCGCGAUGCAGCACACGAAUAGUGGGGAGAAUGAAAGAGGCAGUGAGCGAGGUACUGGUGAAGGGAGCAAAAGAGAGGGGGAGAAAUCGAGUAGAAAGUGGGGGAUGAAAAGAGAAGAGAGGGGAACGACGAGGAAGGUAGAGAGGAAGAGUGAGGAAGAAAGAGAAGACAUUGACCGAACGAGCAGCCGCGCGACAAGGCCUCCUUUGCCGUGCUAGGCCAGCUGGAAGGAACGAAGCUUGAACCCUGACUUCUCUUUCUCAACUUAAAUUGGCUACCAAAGAAACGAUGGGAAAAAGCCACUAGAACUCGCUGUG